GUGUCAGCAGCCGCGGUAAUACGUAGGGUGCAAGCGUUAAUCGGAAUUACUGGGCGUAAAGCGUGCGCAGGCGGUUAUAUAAGACAGAUGUGAAAUCCCCGGGCUCAACCUGGGAACUGCAUUUGUGACUGUAUAGCUAGAGUACGGUAGAGGGGGAUGGAAUUCCGCGUGUAGCAGUGAAAUGCGUAGAUAUGCGGAGGAACACCGAUGGCGAAGGCAAUCCCCUGGACCUGUACUGACGCUCAUGCACGAAAGCGUGGGGAGCAAACAGGAUUAGAUACCCUGGUAGUCCACGCCCUAAACGAUGUCAACUGGUUGUUGGGUCUUAACUGACUCAGUAACGAAGCUAACGCGUGAAGUUGACCGCCUGGGGAGUACGGCCGCAAGGUUGAAACUUAAAUGAAUUGACGGGG
rnacentral:rRNA from 1 species